AUGAAUGUUCCUACUGGGGUGAAGGAGAACAUUCAGCUCAUGAGGGGGCUUCACAUGGUCGCCGAUAUCCAAUGCCUUGAUUGUCGUGAGGCGCUCGUGUGGAAGUGCAAGAUGGACUACGAGGAAUCACAGAAGUACAAGGAAUGGAAGUUCAUAUUUGAGAAGGCAAAUAUUGUACAUGAGAAUUGGUAG
rnacentral:rRNA from 1 species